rnacentral:rRNA from 1 species
UACGGAGGGUGCGAGCGUUGUCCGGAAUUACUGGGCGUAAAGGGCGCGUAGGCGGCACUGUUAGUCAGGCGUGAAAUUCCCGGGCUCAACCUGGGGACUGCGCUUGAUACGGCAGAGCUAGAGGAUGGAAGAGGGUCGUGGAAUUCCCAGUGUAGAGGUGAAAUUCGUAGAUAUUGGGAAGAACACCGGUGGCGAAGGCGGCGACCUGGUCCAUUACUGACGCUGAGGCGCGACAGCGUGGGGGAGCAAACAGG